AUGAUCUGAGGUGGGAAAGGUUCCCCACGCGCUAUCUUUCGGAUAGUUACCAGAGAUCAUGAUUGCCGCCCUGCAGAUAAU
rnacentral:ncRNA from 1 species